GCCUUGGCACUAGAAGCCGAUGAAGGACGUUACUAACGACGAUAUGCUUUGGGGAGCUGUAAGUAAGCUUUGAUCCAGAGAUUUCCGAAUGGGGAAACCCAGCAUGAGUUAUGUCAUGUUAUCGAUAUGUGAAUACAUAGCAUAUCAGAAGGCACACCCGGAGAACUGAAACAUCUUAGUACCCGGAGGAAGAGAAAGAAAAUUCGAUUCCCUUAGUAGCGGCGAGCGAAACGGGAAGAGCCCAAACCAACAAGCUUGCUUGUUGGGGUUGUAGGACACUCUAUACGGAGUUACAAAGGACGACAUUAGACGAAUCAUCUGGAAAGAUGAAUCAAAGAAGGUAAUAAUCCUGUAGUCGAAAAUGUUGUCUCUCUUGAGUGGAUCCUGAGUACGACGGAGCACGUGAAAUUCCGUCGGAAUCUGGGAGGACCAUCUCCUAAGGCUAAAUACUCUCUAGUGACCGAUAGUGAACCAGUACCGUGAGGGAAAGGUGAAAAGCACCCCGGAAGGGGAGUGAAAUAGAACCUGAAACCGUGUGCUUACAAGUAGUCAGAGCCCGUUAAUGGGUGAUGGCGUGCCUUUUGUAGAAUGAACCGGCGAGUUACGAUUUGAUGCAAGGUUAAGCAGUAAAUGUGGAGCCGUAGCGAAAGCGAGUCUGAAUAGGGCGUUUAGUAUUUGGUCGUAGACCCGAAACCAGGUGAUCUACCCUUGGUCAGGUUGAAGUUCAGGUAACACUGAAUGGAGGACCGAACCGACUUACGUUGAAAAGUGAGCGGAUGAACUGAGGGUAGCGGAGAAAUUCCAAUCGAACCUGGAGAUAGCUGGUUCUCUCCGAAAUAGCUUUAGGGCUAGCCUCAAGUGAUGAUUAUUGGAGGUAGAGCACUGUUUGGACGAGGGGCCCCUCUCGGGUUACCGAAUUCAGACAAACUCCGAAUGCCAAUUAAUUUAACUUGGGAGUCAGAACAUGGGUGAUAAGGUCCGUGUUCGAAAGGGAAACAGCCCAGACCACCAGCUAAGGUCCCAAAAUAUAUGUUAAGUGGAAAAGGAUGUGGCGUUGCCCAGACAACUAGGAUGUUGGCUUAGAAGCAGCCAUCAUUUAAAGAGUGCGUAAUAGCUCACUAGUCGAGUGACACUGCGCCGAAAAUGUACCGGGGCUAAACAUAUUACCGAAGCUGUGGAUUGUCCUUUGGACAAUGGUAGGAGAGCGUUCUAAGGGCGUUGAAGCAUGAUCGUAAGGACAUGUGGAGCGCUUAGAAGUGAGAAUGCCGGUGUGAGUAGCGAAAGACGGGUGAGAAUCCCGUCCACCGAUUGACUAAGGUUUCCAGAGGAAGGCUCGUCCGCUCUGGGUUAGUCGGGUCCUAAGCUGAGGCCGACAGGCGUAGGCGAUGGAUAACAGGUUGAUAUUCCUGUACCACCUAUAAUCGUUUUAAUCGAUGGGGGGACGCAGUAGGAUAGGCGAAGCGUGCGAUUGGAUUGCACGUCUAAGCAGUAAGGCUGAGUAUUAGGCAAAUCCGGUACUCGUUAAGGCUGAGCUGUGAUGGGGAGAAGACAUUGUGUCUUCGAGUCGUUGAUUUCACACUGCCGAGAAAAGCCUCUAGAUAGAAAAUAGGUGCCCGUACCGCAAACCGACACAGGUAGUCAAGAUGAGAAUUCUAAGGUGAGCGAGCGAACUCUCGUUAAGGAACUCGGCAAAAUGACCCCGUAACUUCGGGAGAAGGGGUGCUCUUUAGGGUUAACGCCCAGAAGAGCCGCAGUGAAUAGGCCCAAGCGACUGUUUAUCAAAAACACAGGUCUCUGCUAAACCGUAAGGUGAUGUAUAGGGGCUGACGCCUGCCCGGUGCUGGAAGGUUAAGAGGAGUGGUUAGCUUCUGCGAAGCUACGAAUCGAAGCCCCAGUAAACGGCGGCCGUAACUAUAACGGUCCUAAGGUAGCGAAAUUCCUUGUCGGGUAAGUUCCGACCCGCACGAAAGGCGUAACGAUUUGGGCACUGUCUCAACGAGAGACUCGGUGAAAUCAUAGUACCUGUGAAGAUGCAGGUUACCCGCGACAGGACGGAAAGACCCCGUGGAGCUUUACUGUAGCCUGAUAUUGAAAUUCGGCACAGCUUGUACAGGAUAGGUAGGAGCCUUUGAAACGUGAGCGCUAGCUUACGUGGAGGCGCUGGUGGGAUACUACCCUAGCUGUGUUGGCUUUCUAACCCGCACCACUUAUCGUGGUGGGAGACAGUGUCAGGCGGGCAGUUUGACUGGGGCGGUCGCCUCCUAAAAGGUAACGGAGGCGCUCAAAGGUUCCCUCAGAAUGGUUGGAAAUCAUUCAUAGAGUGUAAAGGCAUAAGGGAGCUUGACUGCGAGACCUACAAGUCGAGCAGGGUCGAAAGACGGACUUAGUGAUCCGGUGGUUCCGCAUGGAAGGGCCAUCGCUCAACGGAUAAAAGCUACCCCGGGGAUAACAGGCUUAUCUCCCCCAAGAGUUCACAUCGACGGGGAGGUUUGGCACCUCGAUGUCGGCUCAUCGCAUCCUGGGGCUGUAGU
rnacentral:rRNA from 1 species